AGAAGCUCUUAAUAAAUUAAAAGUUACAAAAAGCAAUUUACAGAGUGUUUUAUGUAUGUCACUACAAUGAGGUUUUAUUGGUGUGAUAUCAUAAUUUGGCUGUCUCUGGUCCCUUUCUCUUGGCAGCUCUAGCUCUAAAGACAUUAUGCGCUUGACAUGCCAGCUCAGGGAGCUGAAUGCCAGAGGUCUGCUUUAUUUGGGCAGUAAUCAACAGGACUUGUAGGUUUACCUAAGGACUUCUACAUCAAUUCUUCACGUAUCGCAUCUUGGGGUCUUUCUUGUUUGACUUUAGUAAUUGCUUUUUUGUGCAAAGAGACUGACUAAAUUCAUCAGGAUUCACUGUUGAAAUUGCAUGGUUUUCAGUUGCUUUCCAAAUUUCCCACAAAAUUAUCUGUGUUUACAAAUGUAUCCGGAUUUUACUUUGAACUUGAUUCCUUCCUCCUGCCCUUAAAGAUAAAUGAAUUCCUAAACAUGUUUGUACUUGCAAAUUCAUAGAUUUAUACACUUCAUGCCACUUUAAUCCCUAUUAAACUAAUCUGAAGUCAUGUCAGGCCAACUAUCCACAGUAAAAUGGAUUAGACAAGCCAGUUGAUCAGAGAUAGAAAUGAUUCUGGUUUCUUUUCUGUCUAGCCUCUGUGCAUUUAGAGCACUAUUUUCAUACAAACAAUUUUGUUCUCUUUAAUUCCUUUCUGAUUAAGCUAAUUCAAAAAUAACAUUUGUUCUUAGAGAAUCAUUAGUGUGAAGCAGAGCAGACAAUGCUUUUAAUUAGGUCUUUUUGUACCUCCUCUAUCCAUUUAGUAAUAAAAUUACUUCUGUAUUAAUUGAUUAGCUAUUUUAAUUUACACAGCAAUAAGUGCUUAGAUGCAGUGGUCACGAAAAAACAGCUUUGUUAAAUAAUUUUCUAAGUAUAGGUGAUAUUUGUUUCCUGGAGAAGUGAAAGAUGUUUUGUUUAAAAGCUUUGUGAUGCAUGUGCUGUAGCUUCUGACAGUUCUUCUCAGCAGAAUGUAAUAGACCUCUCACUGAAUUUUAAGGAACUUAGUAUGUACUAGUUCAGCUUUAUUUUUAUUUCUAACAGAGACUCUUGUAUAGCUAAAGAAGUAUGUAUGUUCAAAUUAUGUAAAAGACCUCUUUGUACAAAGGGAGUCUUAGGCUGGGAAAGAAUGCUUAUCUACUGAAUUGUAAGAGGAGUACUGCAUUUUUUAUUGUAUUUUUAAUUCUUUUAAUAUUUGAAACAAAGAAACAAAGUAACGUACUUCAGCUUACGAAAGGGAAUAGUCAUUAAAAAUUGUUGUUGGGAACCAAUUCUUCACACAUCUUUUGAAGUGGAACAAAUUGCUGUUUAUAAUAAUGGAUUAACAUAAUUAGAUCACACACAAUCUCUGUUCAAUUGGCCACAUUAACAGAAAUAUAUGAUAAGAAUAUUUCUAUAGUUCUGCUUUCCACAUUUUCUUUUGAGAACAGUGGCUUGACUUCUCAGCUACUCUAAAUUCUUCAUACUGAAGGAUGGAAAUGCAAUGAGGCUGUAUAAUUACUUAAUUAUAAAUUACCUCACUCAAAUGACCUUAUACCGAUUGGUUGUCUUCACAAAAUGUCUGUGCAAAUAUUAAUCAUAACUGCUUCCUCUGCCUUUCUUCCACAGAAGGAAAUUUCCUGGCCACAUCAACACAUGCAUAUCACAUUGCAGCAUGGCAGCUGGCUGACCCAGUCCUACCUACCCUCACCCAUCCUACCCAUUCUCAAACACUUGCUCCCUACUUAAGAAUGAGAAUUUCACUGUCAUCCCACUCCCUCCAUAAUGUCAUACCAUGGUUGGAACAACAGCAGACAAUACUUUAUCAUUCUCCUUAUCUGUUGAAAGGUUUUGCGCAUGGUAUGGAUGUGCAUAAAAUUCUCUGAUCCUUAUAUAUGUCAGUAAGAGUGGAAAAGGAAAGAAUUCAAGAGGCUUUUUCUACAAUUGUUGGUAUGCUCUUCAAUGCACUUUUUUCAGGCCAUGACUCAGAUAAAGAAGGGAACAGCUAAAUGAAAGGGAAAAUGAAAAUGAGCUCUCCUAAUAGAGGUUUAAAGCAAAGGGUCUGAUAUCCAGGAAAGACCAAUUUUGAGCUCAGAGCUGCAGCUCAUACUAAGGAGGUUUGCUGCACUUGCUCAUUCCUGUUUAAAUCAGCUGUCUUUUCUGAAUCUUACAGCAACACAAUGGUAGAAACAGCUAAGAAAAAGCAAGGAUUAGUAAAAUGGUUUCUAGUGGUAUUCUUCAUUUUGCUCUAAAGCAUGGGGGAAGGGGGAAAUAGUUAGUGUUCAGAGGUAAGAAUGAUAUUUACUAUCAUACAACUGUUUUCUCUCCCUUACCUAUGGGUGAAGCUUCAAUCAUUUAGAAACCUCUAAAUGCAAAUAUGUUUCUAGUUGAAUUUAUUCAGUGUAUGUGUUUAUCAGGAAAAAAACAGAAGAAAAUCUCCUUUACCCCAUAUUAAAAAAAAUAUAUCUUUGAGUACAGAGGCAAUUAUUUUUGUGUUCCAGCACUUUGCCACAGAAAAAAUCAUCAGAUUGAUGCAUUCUGCUGAUUGAAUGAGGACCAAAUCCUUUGGGGAGAAAAAGGGAAAACAAAACAUGUAAUCAUGUGGUCAGAUACUGCAUAUUUGGGGUGUUCUGCAGUACUAGAAUAUUUGACUUUUUUGUAAGGAUUUAUCAGUCUCUUAAGAUAGUUUUUACAUGCUGUAUUUAUAACUCUGGCUUGUGCAUCUUCUUUGUUUUCCCCUACCUUUUGUCUGUCUUAGCUGUUGCUUUACACCUAGCUAAAGACUGAAAGCUCUUAGGGUAUGAAAAUUAUCUUCCCGUAAGUAUGGAAAGCAACUAACAUUUGACAAUAUCAUAACAAUAACCUGAGUUACCAUUUUAAGUUGCAAAAGGUCACUGCUUAAAGAGACAGGAGACAAAAGAAUGUACAUUGUUAAGGAAAACUAUUUUGGUGUUAAACAUCUCAGCAUUUAUAGGGGUGCAAAACAUUUCUCCUUGGAUAUCUUAAAAAACUGUUUGGAUGUGGUGCUCGGGGACAUGAUUUUGAUGUCGGUUGUUAGAGUAUGGCUAAGUUGUGAUUGGAGUUGAUGUUCUUCAAGGUUGUUUCUGACCUGAGCAGUUCUAUGAUUUCAAGAAGCUGAUCUUAUAGCUGAGUAAUGGCUAGCUAUUUUACAGAUUUUUCUGUAUUUGACAAGAGAAAAUGCAGGAAAAAAAGUUCCUUCCACUUCACGGGGUAUUGCUGGUGUAACUUGUCCUACAGGAGUAGGCAUGGUGACAGAAAGAGACUCUCAAAGGGAAGAAUCUGAUCCAACUUUUCUGGAGUAUGUUUGGUCAUUGGCUCAACUUAAUUCUCCCAACAAGCAGUGAUUGUUCUUCAGUAACAGAAGAAAUCGGCCAUACUAGCUGCCUUACUGACCGUAUGAUUUUGUUCUUUGUGUGUGUACGUGGCUGGCAAUAGUUUAAGACAACUUCCAGCAUCUUAUGUUCAAAGCAACUGGCUUGGUGGGAAGGAGGGAUGGACAGCUUGGGUUAGCCAGGCAAGUACUGGACAAAGAGUAAAUAAGAUGGGUUGAGAAGGCUCAGCAACAGCACAGAUCUCCUUGACUUCAGUGAGAGUGCAGAGCAAGGGAGCCUGCUGACACCUGCAAGCAUACAGCACAAGGAGAUGACUGAAACUUAAGGAUGGGUCCAACCGCUUGGCUCUGUGUGAGUGCAAAUAAUGAAAGCCAAGUUGCAUAUUUUGGAAGGAAAUUCCCCUUUACUUGUGGCACCCCUUCAGUCGGACCACAAAGAAUUGCAAUGAUAGGAGGGUUUGAGAGGAGCUGGAUGUGUAUCAUCUUUCAGACUGAAUCAAUCAAAAUACCAUGAACUGCAGAGCAGCUGAUUUGGGACAACCAUCCUGCAGGAGACAAGAAGCUCUUCUAUCUGUUGGGCUUAAGCCAAGAGAGAAAACCAGGCUGGUGCUGGUCAGGCUGUGCAAGUUGAUUUCAUCACCCAUGUCCCCUGUCAUCUCCUUUUCCUGAGGAUAACAGAGCGGCUGGCUCUGGGGGAUUUUCCAGCAUAGCCACCCAAUUUCUGCACCCCCAGGGAAGCCAAAAUAGCAAAAAUGGAGCAAGAUUAAAUAUUUUCUCAUACAGAGUAAGAAGACAUUUCAAUCAUCUCAAUCAAGAUUCCCAUCUGGAACAAUGCUCUCUACUUGCAGGAUAUAAAUACAUCUCUCUACCUGACUGAUCUGAAACCUCACUCAGCAUUCAAUGUAUGAUUUGCUCCUAAUGUGGCAGUUGUGCAAGAUGCAGAGUAAUUCUACCUUACCACUCAUAGUCCCCAGAUCUCAAUUUCCCUCAGAGUACUUGAGACCAAAACCUGAACUCCCCAGUAAGUCUGCUGAAAGAUCUUUUCCCCUGUGUUUGAAUGAAAGUGUUCAACUGGGCUUGAGGUCAAUACUCCCAAGAGUAUUUACAAACUUUACAAAGCUGACCUGUGGCAAAAAAUCCCCUCCAGGUGCUGAAGAAUUCACUGACACACCUUUGCUUCAUGCGCGCUUCCAUGUCAGACGCCAUUUUGUCAGAAUGCCCCUCUGCUG